GGAAAAAUUCAAUUAGUGUUUCUUUUCUGUCUCAUAAGUCUCACGGAUGCUUGCAGCCAUGACAAUUCUUAAAGCUUAUGCUUUUUGUCUGAGAAAAAAAAUCUUAGUCCACCCAUUACCUAGAUUGUGUUAAAAGAAUGAGGCUUUAUGUGACUCACAGAAUGCAGGAGUUUCUCUAUUGGUCGCUCUGUUCCUUUGUAGUUUUACAGCUUUUGAAUUCUUUGAUUCUUUUCUAUCAGCAGCCCUGGCAUCAGAAGAUAUUGAUGAAAACAAUGAUGACGAUGCUGAAUCAGUCAACUAUGCCGGUAUGCCCUUAUCCCAAAUAGUUUGCAUCGGCUAUAUGGACCUCUGUUCAUUCUACUCUAAACCCCAAACCUAGUGAAUGAGGCUGUGGUGAUCUUAUCCAGAAAGCUUGAAAUCUCAGAUAUUUGUGCUGAGUCUUAGCUUGGCUAGUGAAGGUGGGGGGAGUUUUGUUUUUUCAGCUUUGGGUUUUGAUACUUGUAGACAAAUCUUAGCCUCAUGUUUGUAUUACUUUCAAUUCCUUGGACAGUCUGUCAACAUUUUCUUUGAAAAGAAGUUUCACGUAUUCUCCUCAAAUUUUGAUUCCAUUUUCUGAAUCUUGAGAAUUCACAAU
rnacentral:lncRNA from 1 species